rnacentral:misc_RNA from 1 species
ACGAGUUAGGGUCUCUCCAGGCCCGACCUCCCAACCCUUUGUUUACCGAACCUCUGUUGCUUCGGCGGACCCGCCUCACGGCCGCCGGAGGACCGCCCCCAGGCGUCCUCUGGCCAGCGUCCGUCGAUAGCCAAAACAUUUAAACCCUGAAUAAAUCGUGUCUUGUGUCUGAGUCUAUGAUUAAAUCAAAAACA